rnacentral:lncRNA from 1 species
ACCUGCCUACCCCAGCAUAUUAAAAAGGCAUAUCAGGAAACUGGCACUGAAUUGCCACCCAGAUAAUCCUGAAAAUAAGGAAGUAGCACGGAGUAGUGAGGUGUGUGAGGUGUUACCAGAUGCUAGAAAAAAAGACACAUCUAUGACAAAUAUGGCAAAGAAGGAUUAAAUGGUAGUGGAGAAGAUGGAAGUCAUUUUGACAGUCUGAGUUUGGCUUAACAUUCCGUCUUCAGGGAAGUUUUUGGUGGAAGGGACCCAUUUCCAUCUGACUUCUUUGAAGGCCCAUUUGGGGGCAUUUUUGCAGGGAAUGGGGAGGAAUUGAAGAGAUUCCUAAAGAAACAGAAGCCGAGGGAUGGGGCCAUUUUUCUCUGCCUUCAGUGUACUCCCAUCUUUUGGAAUUGGGCUUUGUUCUUUUGGAACAGGGUUUAUUUCAUUUGGGUCACUAGGUCAUGGAGGCAUUAUUUCCAAGUCAUUUGAUAGUAAUGAGAUGGGCAACUUCAAAUCUAUAUCAACUCCUAUUAAAAUAGCUAAUGGCAGAAAAAUUACUAGGAAGAGGUUAAGAGACAGUAGAAGUUGAAGAAGAUGGCCAGUUAAAGUCCUUAACAAUAAAUGGUAAAGAGCAUCAUCCACACUUGGAUAA